rnacentral:rRNA from 1 species
CCUACGGGAGGCAGCAGUGAGGAAUAUUGGUCAAUGGGCGCGACCCUGAACCAGCCAAGUCGCGUGAAGGAUGACUGCCCUACGGGUUUUAAACUUCUUUUGUAUGGGAGUAAAUUGUUCCACCUGUGGGAUUUUGUAUGUCUCAUAUGAUUAAGGCUCGGCUAACUCUGUGCCAGCAGCCGCGGUAAUCCGGAGGAUCCGAGCGUUAUCCGGAUUUAUUGGGUUUAACGGGCGCGUAGAUGGAGUGGUAAGUCAGUUGUGAAAGUUUGCGGCUCAACCGUAGAAUUGCAGUUGAGACUGGCAGUCUGGAGUACAGGAGAGGUAGGCGGAAUUCGGGGUGUAGCGGUGAAAUGCGUAGAUAUCACGAGGAACACCGAUUGCGAAGGCAG